UACGUAGGGUGCGAGCGUUGUCCGGAAUUAUUGGGCGUAAAGAGCUUGUAGGCGGUUUGUCGCGUCUGCUGUGAAAAUCCGGGGCUCAACCCCGGACUUGCAGUGGGUACGGGCAGACUGGAGUGUGGUAGGGGAGACUGGAAUUCCUGGUGUAGCGGUGAAAUGCGCAGAUAUCAGGAGGAACACCGGUGGCGAAGGCGGGUCUCUGGGCCGAAACUGACGCUGAGGAGCGAAAGCGUGGGGAGCAAACAGG
rnacentral:rRNA from 1 species